UACUUGAUACUUGAUCCACUC
rnacentral:piRNA from 1 species